CAGAAGUUGUGUCCUUAAGGGGUUAAAAAAGAGAUACAUAUGUUGAACCGUGUCAAUGACAAAGGAAUGGUUAAAUGUGCAUACCUGUUAUACUUCAUAAUAAGUGAUGUGAAUUAACCAUGGUUACUCACCCUUAAAUGCCAUUUAGCUUUAUCACAUUAACUAAAUGUAAAACACAAAGUUGUUUUUGCAGAAAAUCUACUAAUGUAGAUUUGUUUUUUCUGUCAAUACAAAAAGAGACAUUAUGAAUAUCAUAGAGGCGAG